GACGAACGCUGGCGGCGUGCCUAAUACAUGCAAGUAGAACGCACAGUUUAUACCGUAGCUUGCUACACCAUAGACUGUGAGUUGCGAACGGGUGAGUAACGCGUAGGUAACCUGCCUGGUAGCGGGGGAUAACUAUUGGAAACGAUAGCUAAUACCGCAUAAUAUUGAUUAUUGCAUGAUAAUUAAUUGAAAGGUGCAAUUGCACCACUACCAGAUGGACCUGCGUUGUAUUAGCUAGUAGGUGAGGUAACGGCUCACCUAGGCGACGAUACAUAGCCGACCUGGGAGGGUGAUCGGCCACACUGGGACUGAGACACGGCCCAGACUCCUACGGGAGGGAGCAGUAGGGAAUCUUCGGCAAUGGACGAAAGGCUGACCGAGCAACGCCGCGUGAGUGAAGAAGGUUUUCGGAUCGUAAAGCUCUGUUGUAAGGGAAGAACGGGUGGGAGAGUGGAAAGUUCACACUGUGACGGUAUCUUACCAGAAAGGGACGGCUAACUACGUG
rnacentral:rRNA from 1 species